GGGAAUAGCCCAGAGAAAUUUGGAUUAAUACCCCGUAAUAUCGUGGAGAGGCAUCUUUCUACGAUUAAAGCUCCGGCGCUUAAAGAUGGGCGUGCGUCUGAUUAGGUAGUUGGUGAGGUAACGGCUCACCAAGCCGACGAUCAGUAACUGGCGUGAGAGCGCGACCAGUCACACGGGCACUGAGACACGGGCCCGACUCCUACGGGAGGCAGCAGUAAGGAAUAUUGGUCAAUGGACGCAAGUCUGAACCAGCCAUGCCGCGUGGAGGAUGAAGGUCCUCUGGAUUGUAAACUUCUUUUAUCUGGGAAGAAUGUCGGUUUUCUAACUGGCUUGACGGUACCAGAUGAAUAAGCACCGGCUAACUCCGUGCCAGCAGCCGAGGUAUUACGGAGGGUGCAAGCGUUAUCCCGGAUUCACUGGGUUUAAAGGGUGCGUAAGCGGAUUUUUAAGUCCCGUGGUGAAAUCCCUGAGCUCAACCUGGAAAUGGCCUUGGAUACUGGCAGGCUAGAGUGCGGUAGAGGGGUGUGGAAUUCCCGGUGUAGCAGUGAAAUGCUUAGAUAUCAGGAGGAACAUCUGUGGCGAAGGCGACACCCUGCACCAACACUGACACUGAGGCACGAAAGCGUGGGGAUCAAACAGGAUUAGAUACCCUGGUAGUCCACGCCCUAAACGAUGAUUACUCGACAUUUGCGAUACACAGCAAGUGUCUGAGCGAAAGCAUUAAGUAAUCCACCUGGGAAGUACGACCGCAAGGUUGAAACUCAAAGGAAUUGACGUCCGCCCGCACAAUGGAUGAUGUAUGUGGUUUAAUUCGAUGAUACGCGAGGAACCUUACCUGGGCUAGAAUGCUGGUGGA
rnacentral:rRNA from 1 species